rnacentral:pre_miRNA from 1 species
AGUGGGACAGCUGGGUCAAAUGGUGGCUCCAUUCCAAUUUUCUAAGGAAUCUCCAUACUGCUUUCCAGAAUGCUUGUACCAAUUUUCAGACCCAUAAGCAAU